AUGAACGCUGGCGGCGUGCCUCAUACAUGCCAGUCGAGCGCACAGACGAGGAGCUUGCUCCUCUGACGUUAGCGGCGGACGGGUGAGUAACACGUGGAUAACCUACCUAUAAGACUGGGAUAACUUCGGGAAACCGGAGCUAAUACCGGAUAAUAUAUUGAACCGCAUGGUUCAAUAGUGAAAGACGGUUUUGCUGUCACUUAUAGAUGGAUCCGCGCCGCAUUAGCUAGUUGGUAAGGUAACGGCUUACCAAGGCAACGAUGCGUAGCCGACCUGAGAGGGUGAUCGGCCACACUGGAACUGAGACACGGUCCAGACUCCUACGGGAGGCAGCAGUAGGGAAUCUUCCGCAAUGGGCGAAAGCCUGACGGAGCAACUCCGCGUGAGUGAUGAAGGUCUUCGGAUCGUAAAACUCUGUUAUUAGGGAAGAACAAAUGUGUAAGUAACUAUGCACGUCUUGACGGUACCUAAUCAGAAAGCCACGGCUAACUACGUG
rnacentral:rRNA from 1 species